rnacentral:misc_RNA from 1 species
AACGCACAUUGCACUCGUUGGUAAUCCGACGAGUACGUCUGUUUGAGAAUCAGUUUAAUCUCGCUCCGGCGGAAGUGGGGCUUAUUGCGCAAGCAAGAGACCUUAAAGACAUUAGCAGCUGCGUGCAGCGACCAACUCUGGAAGGCAUGACUAAUGAACCUAGUUCUCUAGUGCUGGCACAGGGGUGCUCUGGCUGUAGGUGGGUGCUUGCUAUUCGGAGGCAACUCCAAGACACGAUCUCAAAUCAGACGAGACUACCCGCUGAACUUAA